AACGAACGCUGGCGGCAUGCUUAACACAUGCAAGUCGAACGCUGCGCAAGGGGAGCGGCAGACGGGUGAGUAACGCGUGGGAACGUACCCUUAUCUUCGGGAUAGCGCCGGGAAACUGGAAUUAAUACCGAAUGUGCCCUUUGGGGGCAAGAUUUAUCGGAUAAGGAUCGGCCCGCGUGGGAUUAGCUGGUUGGUGUGGGAAGGGCAUACCAAGGCUAGGAUCCAUGGCUGGGCUGAGAGGAGGAUAAGCCACAUUGGGACUGAGACACGGACCCAACUCGUACGGGACGGAGCGGAAGGGUAUAUUGUGCGAUGGAGCCAAACGCAAUCCAGCCGUGUGGCGUGAGUGAUGAAGGCGUUAGGAUUGUACAUCUCUUUCGCAGGAGGAGAAAAUGACGGUAUCCGGAGAAGAAGCCCCGGCUAACUUCGUG
rnacentral:rRNA from 1 species